AGGGGUAUAGUUCAACGGAUAGAAUACUGGUCUUCGAAAUCAUAGAUGCGAGUUCAAAUCUUGCUACCCCCAUCA
rnacentral:tRNA from 1 species